GAUGAACGCUGGCGGCGUGCCUAAUACAUGCAAGUCGAGCGAAUGGAUUAAGAGCUUGCUCUUAUGAAGUUAGCGGCGGACGGGUGAGUAACACGUGGGUAACCUGCCCAUAAGACUGGGAUAACUCCGGGAAACCGGGGAUAAUACCGGAUAACAUUUUGAACCGCAUGGUUCGAAAUUGAAAGGCGGCUUCGGCUGUCACUUAUGGAUGGACCCGCGACGCAUUAGCUAGGUGGUGAGGUAACGGCUCACCAAGGCAAAGAUGCGUAGCCGACCCGAGAGGGUGAUCGGCCACACUGGGACUGAGACACGGCCCAGACUCCUACGGGAGGCAGCAGUAGGGAAUCUUCCGCAAUGGACGAAAGUCUGACGGAGCAACGCCGCGUGAGUGAUGAAGGCUUUCGGGUCGUAAAACUCUGUUGUUAGGGAAGAACAAGUGCUAGUUGAAUAAGCUGGCACCUUGACGGUACCUAACCAGAAAGCCACGGCUAACUACGUGCCAGCCGCCGCAGUAA
rnacentral:rRNA from 1 species